UCCUCGGUAGUAUAUCGGCUAGUACACCCGCCUGUCAUGCAGCGUCGGUUAGUGAACUUGUCUUCGCGGGAGAGCGGGGUUCGACUCCCCGCCGAGGAG